UACGGGGGGGGGCAAGCGUUUGUUCGGAAUUACUGGGCGUAAAGGGCUCGUAGGUGGCCAACUAAGUCAGACGUGAAAUCCCUCGGCUUAACCGGGGAACUGCGUCUGAUACUGGAUGGCUUGAGUUCGGGAGAGGGAUGCGGAAUUCCAGGUGUAGCGGUGAAAUGCGUAGAUAUCUGGAGGAACACCGGUGGCGAAGGCGGCAUCCUGGACCGGCAUUGACGCUGAGGCGCGAAAGCCAGGGGAGCAAACGGG
rnacentral:rRNA from 1 species